UACGAAGGGGGCUAGCGUUGUUCGGAUUUACUGGGCGUAAAGCGCACGUAGGCGGAUCGUUAAGUCGGGGGUGAAAUCCUGGAGCUCAACUCCAGAACUGCCUUCGAUACUGGCGAUCUUGAGUCCGGAAGAGGUGAGUGGAACUCCUAGUGUAGAGGUGGAAUUCGUAGAUAUUAGGAAGAACACCAGUGGCGAAGGCGGCUCACUGGUCCGGUACUGACGCUAAGGCGCGACAGCGUGGGGAGCAAACAGG
rnacentral:rRNA from 1 species